CUCAGUGAGAAAUUACACAGUAAUUGUUCUUUAAUUUAUGCAGAUGACUUUCUGAGUACCUGGGUUCUGUAGCAAUGGAGCUCUUUUAACCUGCUUGGAAGAAGCUUUUUUUACUACAGAACUUCAGUAGUAAACAAACUUCAGUAGUAAACAUUCAUGGUAUAUGUAAUUAAAAUACAGCUCACUGACGGGGUAAUGUUCUAAAGGAGAAGUUUUCUGCUUUAUACUUUCCUAGUGAGAAAUCAAAGUUGAGCAAGUUCCUUUAGGCAGUGCUAUUUAAAAACUUAACUUCUGGUAGGAAUACCUGGAGUGGCUUUUAUUUUUCAAUAAUUUUUUAGAUAUUAAUCCACAAAUCCUGGUGUUCUCAUAGCUGGAUCUUUGUGUGUGGCAUUUAUGAAAUUGUACAGCCAAAACCAUUCAGAGGACUUUAUUUAGCACAGCUUUAUUAUUUAUUUUUAAUUUGUUUUUAUUUUUAAUCUAAAUUACAGUACUGUGAUACAUUGUAUUAAAAGAUGCCAUAUAAAAAGCUUUGCUGUCUUGUUUUUUUUCGGGAUUUCUUCGAGGUUUUUUUUUUUUUUUGACUUAGUGGCUAAAUGCUUCUAGGAGUGAUUCUCCAAUGAAAUACUUUAAUCAUCAUAGACUUAAAAUACUUAUUUUUGUGCAGCCAAACAUCAGUUUGUUUACCCACACUUUUCUUCUCUUCACCCAGUGCUCUGCUCCUUUUGCAAAGGGCAGCCAUUCCAUGACUUUGUAUAAAUACCUUCUUUUAGUGUGUUGUCUCUUUUAGUGUGUAAUUUUGGAUUAAUGUCAUGCAGAGUUGGUGCAUUCUUCAAGUAGUUAAUAAUGAUAUGCAACUUAGUGGUUGUGUACAAAUCCCUGUGGAGUUCUAAUGGUACAUGGGUGCUGGGGAUAACUGAUGAAUUCCAGGUAAUGUAUGCAUCAUAUGGAAAAAAGUGAGAUCUGCUUGCAGGGCUGUGGGAUGGUGCUUGUGAAUAUCCAUCUAUCCAUCCAGCCUGUGUAUUACUUUGUCUGAGGAAUUGUAGGGCUUCUCAUUUUUUAUCCCUUUAAUUAUUACUCAGUAGGGAACCUUCCUGACACUUUGGUAUGAAGUUUUAUUAUAAUGCAGACUUAUUUUAAGUCUUAAUAUUGUAACAGUUUCCCCAACAGCCCCUGGUGGAACUCGGUGGAGGGUGUUGAUAUUGGGCUCACCAGCUGUAGGUCUUUGCUGGGAAUUGGAAGUGAAGGAGUGUAAUAGAGGUAUUUUCUCAUUUCUGAAAAGAAAUAACAUUCUGUAGAUUUACAAGGGUUCUCACAUUAUUUUUUUUUUCAAAUGCAUCUAGCAAGUAUUCUCAGUCAAAUCAAAUCUGAGCUUGUACUUAAGUAAAUUUUAUCUGAUCAGGACUGAAGCACUUGCUCCAUGAUGUUCUGAGAGCUCUUGGUUCGUAUUGAGGGCACUGUCAGCUGAGGUUCUUAAAACAGUAUGAAAUUCUUAACUGCAUAUUUUAUUACUGCUAGGGAUACAAAUGGGCCAGUGCCAAAGCCUGAAUUUAGAACCCAGUCCAAGAAUUCAAUGCAAACAUAGCAAAUGCUUGGCCAGAGCUGGUGGCUUUCCAGCACUCCAGGUCCGAGGCCAUUCAUUGUCAUUGGUGGCAUCUCAGCAUUUGAGAGAGUUUGCUCUUUAUUCUGUGAGUACUGAAAGCCUCCCAAAAGCAGUCUAAGGAGCUUAAUGAGGUUAAAAACCUAAGAUUGGCAGGGGUUUGUGAUCUCCUGAGUAGACUUUUUCCAGAGAUGAAAUUUUCUCUUCAUUUUUAAGAAAAUCAUGGACUAACAGAAGUUUUCCACAGAGAUUAAGAAUUAAUGAAGGAAAAAAAAAUCCCAAACAAUUCACUGCUAAAAGUCCUUUUAUGCCUUACAGGGCUGUUAUUCUCUAGUACCAGAAAUACUAUUUUGUUUUUAGCUACAUACAGAUCUGGGGGGUAAUGGAAGAUUACAUGAUGCUUAUAUAUUUUUUUAAAAAUUCUAUGUUGAGCUGUGAUCACUUCCUGGGUUUGUGUAUUUUCCUUUAAAAAAUGUUUUUAUUGAAACAAAAAAUGUGUCCUACAAGUUUAGGAUAGAUGUCUCCGAUUUUGAGCAGCUAUACUUUAGUUCCCUUUUUUUUUUUUUUUUUUUUUUUAAGUUUUAGAGAAGAGUCCCUGCUAAGAAAUGUCAAACAGUACAUGCUUAAUUAGUUGUUCUGGGAUCACUGUAAAAUAUAAGUCUAAACCAGCCACAUGUAAUGCGACAGCAGUUGCUGAAAUUUCAGUAUGUUACAUAGUAAUAGGAAGUUAGAGCUGAGCACAUCUCAGAAAAAAUAUGUAUGGGUGUGAAAAACAUCAGUCAUCAGUUAAGUGGAGUGUAGCAGUUGUGUAUGAGCACAUGGAAGCACUCCAGGAAAGAAGGAGGAACAAGAAAUAUUACUUAACCCAAAUUUAGCUUCAGGUACUUAAAGGUGUUUAUCCGCCAAUGAAAUUUGGCAAGAAGCUCAGAAUUUAAAAUAAUCUCAAACAUAAAUGCACACGUGUAAUUAUUGAGGGCUGUGAAUGAACCUGGAAAAUAAGCAAAUUCUGCAUUUCAUUGGAAAGUUGAGUUUUUAUAAAGUUGAAAAAUGUCAGACCACAUAAGAGCCUACAAAAUAUUAUUCAUUUCUCCACCUCCAUCUAUUCCUCAUUCUUUUUGUAUCCCAUAAGCUCUGCCUUUUCAACUUCAGUGAAGGUCUCCUUUGUCUCUAUUACUCAAGUAAGAUUAUGUUUCUUCUUUACUGUUCCGUGCUCUUCUGAAUGUGUAUUGCGCAACUUUGUUCAGGAGGAGAGGGAGUGAUAAAGACCUGCCUGCAAAAAACUGAGGUCCAGGUGUUGCACUUUAGCAUCAGUUUAUGAAAGUCACACAGGCAAAGAUGUGCAAAUCCCACAUCCCCCAGGAUGGAGAGAUGCAGCAGCUGUGUGGGGAACGCUCUAGCCUUGGAAAGGGAAAUCAGAGUCCUGAAUGGGCACAAGGAAUGGCCUGAAAAUAUUCUUCAGGCAUUCUUCAGGCUUCAGUAAACCCAGCAAUAACAGAAAUGAGAUGUUAGUCACAGGCCUUUAUGGAAGGGUAAGUUGCUAUAUAUAGAGAAAUUUGGCAGCUUUUGUUUCUGCUGCCUGUACAAGGAAGAGAUGGAAACUUCAGCAGAAAAGGUGUGAAGAGUAGCUAUGAACCUUCAUGGGGUUGAAUGAUUUCAUUCAAGGCAUUUGUCUCAAAAGACAAGGAGCAGAGAGGGGGAAAAAACCCCAGUAGGUACCACAUUGUUCAGGAUGAUUAAUUGCAGUAGAGAGGGUGGGAGACUUGGAUAGGAGUUGGAAUUGAAAAGUUGCUAGAAAAAAGAACUCUUUUAACAUUUGCUUGGUCUGUGUCCAGUGUCCCUCUUUUUAUCCAUGUAAAUAGGAAAAGAUUGUGGCACAUCACUAUUGGUUUUGGUUUGUUGUCCAGACACUUAUUUUGCUGACUUGAGUGGCAAUUUUGCAUUCUAUCCAAAGUUAAAAUAUUUCUCUCUGGCUUUAGAAAAACAGUUCCUCAAAUAGAUAGCCACUUAUGUUUCUUUAGAGUAGUUGAGGGCUAGUGGACUCCUGUGAAAGUUCCCCUUUUUUAAGACGGGCCUCAGACACUAAAGGAAACAAAUAUUUGUAGUAAAAUGGGCAUAAUUCUAGUCCACAACAGGAACCAGAAGUUGGUAAAAAUGGAAGCUGAACUUACGUAAUUGUUGUGUUUUUCUUGGAAACACAGCUUUCUAAAUGACACAACUUUGAAAGGGCAGGAGUACAAGGAAGAUAUUUUUUUAGUUUGAGUUUGAUGGAAGGGCUUCCUAAAUACAAAUGACCUGUGUAAAUUCCAAGCUAAAAGCAUGAAUAGAAUUUCUUAGGUUUAUUCAAGCUUUAUGAAAGGAGGUAAGAAUCCAGUAUAUGACAGAAAGAAGAGAAAGCUGUAUGAUGCUAGAGUGUGCUGAUGGUCCUACUUGCAGCUCUCAGCUUUACUAGAUGGAGUUUUAAUAGAAACAGGUAAGCUUGGCACAGCUAUGAUCCCACACUGUAAUACAAGCAUCACAGUGUCUUCUUUCCUGUUAAUCAUAAAUGUCAAUGCCUUGCUUGCUUUUACUUCGAAGUAAGGUAAUUGAGAAGUCUGGUAUGCCUUUUGAUUCAAAUAUCACAUUUUCUGGCAACUGCUGAGUUGGAGAGCUACAUAACUUAAAGAUUUUUCCGUGUGAGAUUUUCAUCUAUUUCUGUGAUCUACCACCCGUAUCACUUACAAGAAGCUAGCACAGAGUGAAUGAAAAUUAAGAGGUGACCCUUACUUAGGCACAGACUUUAUGUUUUUAAAAUCUGUGGUCUAAGAAGUGAAAGGUAGAUUAUAUAUGUAAAAAGAAAAAUUAUGGUGCCAUGGAAAAGAAGUAAAAAGGCAUGGCAGUGGUGAAACCUGCCUUGUAGCCUUACUGUAUGGAAAUUCCUGGGUGACAGUGUGGAGGUGGACACUGAAGCUGUAGAGGGAUGAGGUUUACACCUGAAGGGUUUUGAGUGUGUUUGAAUGAAUCCCAGAUGGCAGAAGCACUCCUGGCUCCAUAUAAGGCUCUGAGCAUGGAGUGAUCUAUAACUGUAGAUUUGCAAGUGUCCUGAGCCUCCAGACACCCGUCUAUACAGCAUGCCUGUGCACCCAAAGCAGCUCACUAAUAUCAGUCUGACCCCAUUUCUCAUUAUAAUAUUUCUGGUAUGGUGGCAUCUGCUGUUCUUCAGAGAGCAAAGAUGAAAUACUGGCACCUCUAACAUCUGUAGGCCCAUGUAACACAGUUUUUUCUUGUAUUGCAGAACAUGAAAAUGGGUGCUUCUAUUGAGAUCCUUCACAGCACAGUAUGCCUUCAUGGAUGAGUAGUUUUAGAUAGAUAUAUGGUUUAAGUGGGAUUGGAGAAUGCUGUAUUUAAUUUUUUAUUAAUGUGUGAGAUACCAGCAGCUACUAAAUUUGUAGUUAUAUCUAAUUAUGGGCUUAUUUGUUGAGACAUGCAAAAACCAUACCCCAUCUAAGGCAGGAACUGAGUUGUGGCUCUCAGUGCAACUUCAGCUGUCUCUCCUCAGAAACUCCAAAUAGGCUUUUUUGUUUUCAGUCAGGCUGAUGUUAGGAGAGUAGUGCAGUGGGAAGCUGGAGCCGCUAAAUUAAGUGAGGAGAAAAUGCACCUCUUGGAAGAGGUGGUAGUACUAAGUAGCUGAAAAUCAUCAAAUUGAAAACUUGAGACAUUUGGAUAAUACCUUUCCCUCUUCUGACUUAAUAAGAGGACAAGGAGUUCAUCUAAAUUAGCAUGAAGCCCUGAGACCACACACAAUUAUACUGAGAAAAUAAGAAAUCUGAGUGCCCGGACUGGUCUUUAUUUUGUUUAAAACACAACUACCUCAAAUAUGUAUCAGGUCCAAGGCUGUGUAAGCAUCUUUUGACCACAGUCUACUGGUCAGCAACGUUCAUUGUUGCCAGUAACUUCCACUCCUGCAGGAAUACAUUAGUUAUAAAAAGUCUAAAGACAGAGGUAGAGUGUUUAUUGUUGUUCACCCCCUCUGGGAACGCAGUGCAGUGGGUUCUGCUGCAGGUGUGUGUAGCUCAGGGAUUUGUCCUCUUGACACUGCCUGUGUGACAGCUGGCACUGCCUGCAGGAAGUGUGCUGUCCUCUACUACCAUGGUCCAGCUUGGACAAGAGGAAAACAGGCUGGACCUGUACCUGGGAGAGCACAAUCUCAGUGCUGAAGACUUCUCAGAAUGUAGGUGCAGCUGUAAUGCAGAAACUCCUGGAUUAUGUGAUUUAUUGCUCAGAGGCUGUUAGUCAAUAUAAGACCUAGCCAAGAAAUUUAAUCUCUUUGGGCCCAUGUUUGAUCACAUUUUGAAUUCUUUCUGGUUUUGAAAUGGAAUCUAAACAACUCUGACAAUGUCCUUGCCAUUACAUUUAUUUGGUCUCCUGUCAGCUUUUACUGUAACUCUUUUUCUAACUGCCUUAGAGUUUUUACUUUAAAAUUUCUGACAAAGUUCUACAAAAUGGAUUGAAUGUUGUCAUUGUACUCUGAUAAAUUUGUCUGUGAAGGAUAGCUUCUUUCUGGCUUUCAAGGGACCGAGGUCUGUGGAGUCUGCUCUCUUACUGGCAUUGUUCAGUAUUUAUUUCUGUAUUUUUAAUGGCGUCUUAAUUGGGCUUUUUGCUAGCUUUACGUAGGAAGGUAACAAUUUAUAGCAGACUUAUGGCAUUGUAGUAAAUGAAUUGUAAUGUUAUUCCUAUUACUUACCUUUUUAUGAUACUGGAAACUCAGACUUAAGAGCUUACUGCAAAAACAUAGAAGGAUUUUCCUUGGCUCUGAACCACUUGCACCUUCUGUAUUCAUCAUAAUUAACAGCAGGGAUAAAGAGCAAGCCCUGAUCGUGGGGAGGACUCAUGCAAGGCUGCCUUCUUUGUCAUUUGCCAUGUUGAUAGAGUUACUUAGACUGUAUUUUAAGUUCAUGCCAAUUCCAUCAUGAAAAACUUGCAGCCUGAAGGCUCAAAAAUCUCUCUGCAUGGAAGUCUUCUAAAUGUCUAAAUUCUCUAUGAAUAUUCAACUUGUCUACCAAGUUUUGCUUCUUGAGUAUGAUUUAUUUAGGAGAAAGUGAAAACUUUCCAACUCUGCUUUACAGAUUUUGUUGGCUAUAGUUUUCAAGUCUUAAAGCUGCCUCUGUUAGCAUGUAGUGAAUUAACUGUACUUGGAAAUCUAUGCAGCACUGGAAGAUGCCUUAUAAAGUGUGUGUAAAUAAGAAAGAAGAAUGUAAACCCUACAAUUUCAGACAAAUCUUCAAUGCUUUUCUUGAGGUUCAUUAAAUUCUUGCAGGCAAAAGCAUUGAGUGUGGAUCUGUGUUUUAGAAGAGAAUACUUCAUCUGUUCUUCCACUUGUAAUGCUGUUGUAUAUACCUGCAUCUAUGUGAAGAUCUUAAUACUGUAGGCACCAAAGCAUAUCAGGCCAUCUUUGAAAACUCUUGGGUGGGAUGGAGCCCUGGUUUUGUUGGAGGUAGAUUUUCCUGAGUUCAGGGAA